rnacentral:rRNA from 1 species
UACGGAGGAUGCGAGCGUUAUCCGGAUUUAUUGGGUUUAGAGGGUGCGCAGGCGGCGUGUCAAGUCAGCGGUAAAAUGUCGGGGCUCAACCCCGGCCGGCCGUUGAAACUGGCGUGCUCGAGUUGGAGAGAAGUAUGCGGAAUUCGUGGUGUAGCGGUGAGAUGCAUAGAUAUCACGAAGAACCCCGAUUGCGAAGGCAGCAUACCGGCUCCACACUGACGCUGAGGCACGAAAGCGUGGGUAUCGAACAGG